rnacentral:rRNA from 1 species
UGGUUCACCAAUUUUUAUAAUAGAAGUAUAAUUAGUUGAGAGUAGUGAUAACGAAAUAUAAAAAUUACUAUAGAGUAUAAGUACUGUAGAGGAAAUAUUGAAAUAUAUGAAAAUCUUUCAUAAAAAAAGUUCUUGUGAGACAAGGUACCUUUUGUAUUAGUGAUUAUCAAAAUACAAAUGUAAUAUGAAAUUCUCGAAAAUAAAAGAUCUAAGAAAAUUAUCUAGUUUUUGUUUCAAAAAAAUUUGAGAAAUUUUCUUAGGUGUAAAAUUCUAACCGCUUUUAUUAAUAUCUAGUAAUCUCAGAAAUAAAUUUAGUUUAGAGUGACAAGGAAAAACUUUAUUUAUAAGUAAUCUUUAGUUAUUUUUAGAUUCUGGGGGAUGAGCUCUAGAAUUAUUAUAGAAAAGUAAAAAUUUUUCGUUUUAUAUUUAGGCUUAGAAUUAGCCACAAGAUUUUGUUAUAAAAUAUAAUUUAGAGAUUAAGAUUUUUUUCUUUUUUAGGUAUAUGAGAUUAAUAAAAAAAUAAAAAAUAUUUUGAAAAAAUGAUAGUAUAAGUAGAUUUAUAAGUAAAGAAAACAAUAUAAAUUUUUCUUUUAAAGUUUUUAAAAAUUAAUUUAACAAAAGAACUCGGCAAACAAAAUUUCCGAAUGUUUAUCAAAAACAUUUCCUCUUAGUUAAAGAGGUAAGGCCUGCUCACUGAAAUAUUUUAAAGAGCCGCAGUAUUCUAACUGUGCUAAGGUAGCAUAAUCAUUAGUCUUUUAAUUGAAGACUGGUAUGAAUGGCUAAACGAGAAAUUAACUUUUUUUGUUAAAAAAAUUGAAUUUAAUUUUUUAGUGAAAAAGCUAAAAUUUUUCAGAAAGACGAGAAGACCCUAUAGAGUUUUAUAAUUUUUUGUUUUAAGUUUUAUUUGAUUUUUAUAAAUUAAGUGCAAAAAAAUUAUUUUGUUGGGGCGACAUUUAGAUAAAAAAAACUCUUUAUUUUUUAAAUUUUUAUGAAAAAAGUAUUGAUCCUUUAAAAAAGAUCAAAAGAAAAAAUUACCUUAGGGAUAACAGCGUAAUCUUUUUUGAGAGUUCUAAUCGACAAAAAGGUUUGCGACCUCGAUGUUGGACUAAAAUUUAGGCAGGG